rfam:Picea glauca, whole genome shotgun sequence.
ACAUGCUUACAACAUAGCGUUAAUGCACCGAAUCCCAUUAGAACUCCACAGUUAAGCGCGCUCAGGCUAGAGUAGUAUUGGCAUGGGUGACCGCCCGGGAAGUCCUAGUGUUUUACAUGCC